CUGCACUGUUCGUAACCUGGUUCAGCCUCCAGUGUGAACUCUGGGUUCCAUUCCAGUGCUACAGUGACCCCCAGUGAGGCAGGGGAGCCGGUCCCGCUUGUGCCGGCUCCCUGUUCACUCUCUGGGAACACGA
ensembl:snoRNA